AGUGAACGCUGGCGGUAGGCCUAACACAUGCAAGUCGAACGGCAACACAGUAAGAGCUUGCUCUUACGGGUGGCGAGUCUCGGACGGGUGAGGAAUACAUCCGAAUCUACUUUUUCGUGUGGGAUAACGUAGGGAUACUUACGCUCAUACCGCACACGACCUUCGGCUGAAAGCCUGGGAUCUUCGGCCCUUGCGCGAUUUAAUGAGCCGAUGUCGGAUUAGCUAGUUGGCGGGGUAAGGCCCACCCAUGGGCCGUUCCGUAGCUGGUAUGAGAGGAUGUUCAGCCACAGAGGACGUGAGGCACGGUCCAGACUCCUAAGGGAGGCAGCAGUAGGGAAUAUGGGACAAUGGGCGGAAGCGUGAUCCAGGCACACCGCGUGGGUGAAGAAGGCCUGCGGGGGGUAAAACCCUUUUGUUGGGGAAGAAUAGCAGCAGGUUGAUCCCCCCCUGUACUGACGGUACCCGAACAAUAAGCACCGGCUAACUUCGUG
rnacentral:rRNA from 1 species